AGUAAUGUAUGGGGAUCUGCCUGAUGGCGGGGGAUAACUACUGGAAACGGUAGCUAAUACCGCAUAAUGUCUGCGGACCAAGGCGGGGGACCUCCGGGCCUCGCGCCAUCAGAUGAACCCAUAUGGGAUUAGCUAGUAGGUGGGGUAAUGGCUCACCUAGGCGACGAUCCCUAGCUGGUCUGAGAGGAUGACCAGCCACACUGGAACUGAGACACGGUCCAG
rnacentral:rRNA from 1 species